rnacentral:rRNA from 1 species
CAGCCGCCGCGGGAAUACAGAGGGUGCAAGCGUUAAUCGGAAUUACUGGGCGUAAAGCGCGCGUAGGUGGUUCGCCAAGUUGGAUGUGAAAUCCCCGGGCUCAACCUGGGAACUGCAUCCAAAACUGGCGAGCUAGAGUAUGGUAGAGGGUGGUGGAAUUUCCUGUGUAGCGGUGAAAUGCGUAGAUAUAGGAAGGAACAUCAGUGGCGAAGGCGACCACCUGGACUGAUACUGACACUGAGGUGCGAAAGCGUGGGGAGCAAACAGGAUUAGAUACCCGUGUAGUCCCUGUCUCUUAUAC